rnacentral:rRNA from 1 species
CACGUAGGGGGCGAGCGUUGUCCGGAAUCAUUGGGCGUAAAGAGCUCGUAGGCGGCUCGGUAAGUCGGGUGUGAAACCCCCAGGCUCAACCUGGGGACGCCACCCGAUACUGCUGUGGCUAGAGUCCAGUAGGGGAGUGUGGAAUUCCCGGUGUAGCGGUGAAAUGCGCAGAUAUCAGGAGGAACACCAAUAGCGAAGGCAGCUCGCUGGGACGGUACUGACGCUAAGGCGCGAAAGCGUGGGGAGCGAACAGGA